UAGUCUAACAUAGAAAAGCACAUAAAAGCCAAUGUAGGAGUGAUGUCCUCGGAUGCUAUGAGGACUUCACUUCUUGAUAAGCCUUGGAAACUCUAACCUUGAAAGCAACUCAAUCUUUUUUAAGACCCUACAUUAGAUUAGAAUGUAGGCAACAUAUGUGUUAGUACAAAAUGUACCAAGUAUGGAAACAAUCAUAUCAAAACAUAUGAUAUCUCAAAGGGUUAGUAAAUAGCAAACAUAAUCACAAGAGAUAAAGACAUAAGCAUAACAUGAAUAUCAUAAGCAUAAUAAAGCACAUGAUAAAGCAUAUAAGAGAUCAUACUUAGGUCAUUGUCCUACUUACUGAAAUGAACUGUUUCAUAAGCCACCUCCAAGUAUACUUGUACAAAGCUAAGGUAGCAUCCCAUACUACUACCAAAGCUAAAUACCUCUCUUUGGUCAUUCUAGAUCAUAACCCACUAUCAUAAUUAAUACCUAGAUUAAUCAUAACAUAUGAGAACUAUGCCCCUAGGCCACCUCAAAGCACACUCGUGCAAUGUAGUGAAACCUUCAAGACAUGCUUAGUAUAGGGUAUGUUGGGACUUGUCCCAUUGAUUAACAUACCCUUAGUAUGGAUUCAUUUUGUUCUGUUGGUCAUGCUUAAUUUGACAUUCCAUUAUAUUGGGCACAUAAGAUUGGUGUAAAUUUAGUAUUGGCCCAGAAAAUUUGGAAAUGACUUCAUACUAAAUUUAUUGGCACAAGCCAAACAUUCAUUCAAAUAUAGUUUCACGAGAUUCUCAUUAGCCAAUUUUUCCAUCAUUAUUUAAAAUCAAUAAUGUAAUCCAAUUCCAUUCAACUUUUGAGGAAGACAUUGUUAGAGAUUUUACUAGCCUAACCCAAACGUUCAUUCAACUUAUGAUUUCAUGGAGAUCUGUUUAGCCAAACUUAUUAUCACGACCCAACCCGAUGGGUCGUAACUAGUGCCCGUUUUGGACACCCACAUACAAACCUGCUAAGUAUAAUCAACUAAAACUAAGACAAUAUGGAAUUUAAUCAAAUCAAGACAACCCCAACGUCAUAUAUAUAAAAAGAGGACCUGUCUCAUAAGGAGUCAUAACCAUUCAACCGUAACAACAUACGCGAGCCGACAAGGCCGCCACUAUCCAAAGUAUAAUAACAUACGUAAGCCAACAAAGCUGCCACUACACAAUAAAAAAUGAUGUACGCAGACGACAAGGCUGCACCUGCCAAGCGGACAUCCCAAAAAAACCAUGUCGAGACCAUUAUCCAUAACAUAUAUAUACAACGCACAUAAUGUCCACAGACCUCUAAGAGUACAGUAGUGAAACUCGAUGGGACAGGGCCCCGCCAUACCCAUAGACGAGCAAAAGACUACACAAAAAGUUAUGUACCAAAACGACUGGCUCCGGAACAGUGGAGCUCUCCAAUCACCAGAGUAUAUAUCCGAGGCGGGAGAAUCACCGAACUGUGUGUCUACACCUGCGGGCAUGAAACGCAGCCCCCCGAGGAAAGGGGGUCAGUACGGACAAUGUACUGAGUAUGUAAAGCAUAAGGUAAAGAUGAAAGGAUACCACUAUGGCAAGUCGAAACAAAAUAUCGCUACACAUGUACCCUUUUAAGUAAAAAUCAUGCAUAUUUUUAACAUAUAAGGUGCCCAGCUUCCCUACUAAGGGGCUCGGCAAAAUCAUCAUCACGUCAUCUCCGUCAUCAUAAUUAUCAUAACCAUCCUCAUCACCAAUCAUAUAUAUAAUAUACAUACCCGGCCCUCUAGUGAGGGACUCGGUGACAUAUGCAAGAAACUCCGCACGAACAUUACCCGGCUGUGGACUCGGUGAAAUGAUAAAUGACUCUAUGCACGAGAAGAAUAUUAUGAGUAACCAUAUGUAAUCAAAAUCAUUUCUUAUAACUCAAUAGAACAAUCAACGUGAACCAGCAAGGAGUAUUACCAAAGAUUAACGUUUUAUCAAGAUUAUGAACCUUUAAUACGAUAUGGAAAUGUAAAAUUUUAAUGACUCUAAGAAGUACUACCAUAGAUAUGAGAAAUCAUCAUAGCCUUAGACAUAGCCGAUAUAUAGAGGAAUAAUUGUGGAAGCAAGAAUAUACGUCACCUAGACGCUCUAGAGGUAAGUAUCAAACCUGUUCGUUAUUCGCUUAUUUUUAAAAGUCAUUCCAAACAAAGAAAGAAGGGACAGCGUUACAUAUCGUAUAGUCGAGCCGCACGUCCAAUAUUUACUGGUCAAGCUAUUAUCUAUAACAAUCAACAAUCGUGCCGCAAUAAGAUAAAUGUCGCGCUUUACUAUCUUGUAAGCUAGCUAAUAAUCUAACGAAAAUCCGGCAGCACUUCCCCUAUUUUCCUUACUUCGUCCCAAUCCGACAACAACCCAAAUUAUCCACAGCAAUACACAUAACACAUACAACCCAACGAAUCAUAUUAAACAGCCCCCUCCCCAAAACACUUCUAUCUCGGCCACCAUAGCAGUGAAGCCACACCGAGCGAUAACUCGUUUUAUAAUUUACAACACAUCUACCUUAUCGUAUUCAUCCUUUGGAGUAUAUACUCAUAAUUACAUUUAACAUAUACAUAACACCAAAAAAGAAUUUUCCCAUAGUUUGCUUUAAUCAAAAUAGCCCAAGCACCAACACGACACCACUAAUAAUCCGAUUAUUGUUUCCGAUCAUACUUAGAACAUUCAAUAACUAAAAAAGACAUCCUAAGCUACUGGUAACGCCCCCUUCUUAAUAUUAAUUGAUAAUUAACAAGGUAUUCUAGAGAAUUAACACACCAAGCAAGGAGAUUACUAACCAAAUAAUAUGCAGCUGCUGGCGAAGAGUUGCAGGGUUGGUUUCUCCAUUUCCAUGGCUGCCUAAGCCAAGUGGUGAAGAAGAUGAUAUGCAGCAAUGUAUUUCACCACUUUAUUU
rnacentral:lncRNA from 1 species